rnacentral:tRNA from 1 species
UCCCAGGUGGCUUAGCUGAUAAAGAAUCUGCCUGCCUGCAAUGCAGGAGACCCUGGUUCAAUCCCUGGGUUGGGAA